UGGAGAUAUAAAACUUAGGCUGCUAACUUGAGUUUGGGAAAUUGUAGUUUUCCGUCUUCAA
rnacentral:tRNA from 1 species